ensembl:lncRNA
CCAUUUUAAUCUUCCGUGUGGUGUUUUUCUCGGUUCUUGCAUAUGAAAAUGUGUCAUAUUUGAAUUUUUGCAUUGAUCAUUGGGACUUGAGAGGAAAUUCUGUAAGUGCUGGUCUAGUAAGGGAGAAGAUGGCACGCAUGGCUCAUGGCUCCCAGACAGACAUUUUCCAUCAGAUGGAUGUGUGUUACGGAUCUAAGGACUGUCUUGGGGUUUUAGGGUAUGGAUUUCUAACAGUGUAAAAUGUUUGUUGUGUCUAGUCACCAGCUCACCUUGUCUCUUCCCGAACACAAAACUUUCACUGAUUCAAAUCCAUAACCCUUUUGACCUGCUGAAACAAUCUUGGACAUCCAGAGAAAGGCAUGAUUGUUUGGUCUUGUUUUUUUUUCUUCUUUUUCUUUUUAACCUUGAAAUGAAGUAUAGCAUAGAAUAGAAUCAUAUCACUGUCUUGCACACAGUUGAAUGAUGAUGAAGGCCACUGAAAGCAAGAGAAUUUGAAAUUUGAACUCAUUGCUCGUAUUGCUUCUUUCUUAAACUGGCCAACCCAGUGUCGCUCUUGUCCUUCUCUCGUUCGCUCAGUUUCUCACUCCCUUUCAAUUUUGCAUUCUCAAUGAUGACUCAGUGAUGUUUUAUGCUCCUUUACAUGUGCGUGUAUGUUGAAAAGAACAGCGUCAUGCAAUCUAUUCUCCUGUGCAGGCUACCUUGGCAAAGCCUUAACAAAGACUCUCGUCAAUAUGACUGAAACAACGGGUCACAAAGCUCGUCACUCUCCCCCACUAAGUGGACUUUGUGUAUGUUACCAGUGGUGUUUUCCAUUUCCUGUGUUACAAAAAAAGCAACCUCAGUUGUCUCUGCGGUAAGAACAGGAACACGCAGAACCACGUGCAAACGAGAACAGUUUCAAUUUCUCUAUGCUGUUGUGGGUUUGAAACGGUGCUGCACCCAUCAUGAACUCACACGGAGGCGUUUACAAUUCCAUGGUUUUAUCAUUAAGCGAGUGUCGCAAGUCCAAAAGACCAGUGCUGAAAACCUGACCUUUCCCGACCCUUUUUCUAUUGCACUGUGUUGUACAAACAUGCUGAAUGUUUUAGUUUUAGAAGCUUUUUUGUAUGUAUUUAUGUUUUUACAGCACUUUUCCUUGUCCAAACCUAUCCCCGAAGGACUUAUUCGUGAAUUUAGAACAUUCUAAAACAAAUGAAAGAUAAUUUAAAUGUGAAUAAUUAAAAAUGUUGAUGGAAAAAUAAUGAAUGUCAACCUUUUCCUUGGUUUUUUUUUUUUUCUUCUUUUUUUUUCCAGCUACAAAAAGUUCCACU